rnacentral:rRNA from 1 species
GACAGAGGGUGCAAACGUUGUUCGGAAUGACUGGGCGUAAAGCGCGUGUAGGCGGCCUCGCAAGUCGGGUGUGAAAGCCCUGGGCUCAACCCAGGAAGUGCACUCGAAACUGCAAGGCUUGAGUCCCGGAGAGGAAAGCGGAAUUCUCGGUGUAGAGGUGAAAUUCGUAGAUAUCGAGAGGAACACCGGUGGCGAAGGCGGGUCUCUGGGCCGUAACUGACGCUGAGGAGCGAAAGCGUGGGGAGCGAACAGG